rnacentral:lncRNA from 1 species
UGUAAAAAUAAUGAUUCAUAAAAAAUAUAAGUCACCAGACAAAAGGUACCACAAAAAAUAAGUAUGAGAAGAAAGAAGAAACAUAAAACUUAGUUGAGGAGUCAACUACAAAAUUGUGAACAAGAAUGAGAGGACAAAUAACAAAGAGAAAAUAAAAGUAUAAAAAGGUUAAUGAAGAGAGAAAUAAAGAAGAAUAACAUUGCUUGUUGGGUGAGUGAGUUGAUCCCUCACCAUCUAGAAUGUAACAUUUCAAAACCAAACAUUUUUUCUCGAUGAAGGCUAUAAAUAGAGAAGAAC